rnacentral:rRNA from 1 species
AGAGUUUGAUCCUGGCUCAGGAUGAACGCUGGCGGCGUGCUUAACACAUGCAAGUCGAACGAAGCACUUUAAUUGAUUUCUUCGGAAUGAAGUUUUUGUGACUGAGUGGCGGACGGGUGAGUAACGCGUGGGUAACCUGCCUCAUACAGGGGGAUAACAGUUAGAAAUGACUGCUAAUACCGCAUAAGACCACGGUACCGCAUGGUACAGUGGUAAAAACUCCGGUGGUAUGAGAUGGACCCGCGUCUGAUUAGGUAGUUGGUGGGGUAACGGCCUACCAAGCCGACGAUCAGUAGCCGACCUGAGAGGGUGACCGGCCACAUUGGGACUGAGACACGGCCCAAACUCCUACGGGAGGCAGCAGUGGGGAAUAUUGCACAAUGGGGGAAACCCUGAUGCAGCGACGCCGCGUGAGCGAAGAAGUAUUUCGGUAUGUAAAGCUCUAUCAGCAGGGAAGAAAAUGACGGUACCUGACUAAGAAGCACCGGCUAAAUACGUGCCAGCAGCCGCGGUAAUACGUAUGGUGCAAGCGUUAUCCGGAUUUACUGGGUGUAAAGGGAGCGUAGACGGCUGUGUAAGUCUGAAGUGAAAGCCCGGGGCUCAACCCCGGGACUGCUUUGGAAACUAUGCAGCUAGAGUGUCGGAGAGGUAAGUGGAAUUCCCAGUGUAGCGGUGAAAUGCGUAGAUAUUGGGAGGAACACCAGUGGCGAAGGCGGCUUACUGGACGAUGACUGACGUUGAGGCUCGAAAGCGUGGGGAGCAAACAGGAUUAGAUACCCUGGUAGUCCACGCC